GACGAACGCUGGCGGCGUGCUUAACACAUGCAAGUCGAACGGAAAGGCCCUGCUUUUGUGGGGUGCUCGAGUGGCGAACGGGUGAGUAACACGUGAGUAACCUGCUCUUGACUUUGGGAUAACUUCAGGAAACUGGGGCUAAUACCGGAUAGGGGCUCCUGCUGCAUGGUGGGGGUUGGAAAGUUUCGGCGGUUGGGGAUGGACUCGCGGCUUAUCAGCUUGUUGGUGGGGUAGUGGCUUACCAAGGCUUUGACGGGUAGCCGGCCUGAGAGGGUGACCGGCCACAUUGGGACUGAGAUACGGCCCAGACUCCUACGGGAGGCAGCAGUGGGGAAUAUUGCACAAUGGGCGGAAGCCUGAUGCAGCAACGCCGCGUGCGGGAUGACGGCCUUCGGGUUGUAAACCGCUUUCGCCUGUGACGAAGCGUGAGUGACGGUAAUGGGUAAAGAAGCACCGGCUAACUACGUG
rnacentral:rRNA from 1 species